rnacentral:rRNA from 3 species
UGAAGAGUUUGAUCAUGGCUCAGAUUGAACGCUGGCGGCAGGCCUAACACAUGCAAGUCGAACGGUAACAGGAAGCAGCUUGCUGCUUCGCUGACGAGUGGCGGACGGGUGAGUAAUGUCUGGGAAACUGCCUGAUGGAGGGGGAUAACUACUGGAAACGGUGGCUAAUACCGCAUAACGUCGCAAGACCAAAGAGGGGGACCUUCGGGCCUCUUGCCAUCAGAUGUGCCCAGAUGGGAUUAGCUAGUUGGUGAGGUAACGGCUCACCAAGGCGACGAUCCCUAGCUGGUCUGAGAGGAUGACCAGCCACACUGGAACUGAGACACGGUCCAGACUCCUACGGGAGGCAGCAGUGGGGAAUAUUGCACAAUGGGCGCAAGCCUGAUGCAGCCAUGCCGCGUGUAUGAAGAAGGCCUUCGGGUUGUAAAGUACUUUCAGCGGGGAGGAAGGUGUUGUGGUUAAUAACCGCAGCAAUUGACGUUACCCGCAGAAGAAGCACCGGCUAACUCCGUGCCAGCAGCCGCGGUAAUACGGAGGGUGCAAGCGUUAAUCGGAAUUACUGGGCGUAAAGCGCACGCAGGCGGUCUGUCAAGUCGGAUGUGAAAUCCCCGGGCUCAACCUGGGAACUGCAUUCGAAACUGGCAGGCUUGAGUCUUGUAGAGGGGGGUAGAAUUCCAGGUGUAGCGGUGAAAUGCGUAGAGAUCUGGAGGAAUACCGGUGGCGAAGGCGGCCCCCUGGACAAAGACUGACGCUCAGGUGCGAAAGCGUGGGGAGCAAACAGGAUUAGAUACCCUGGUAGUCCACGCCGUAAACGAUGUCUACUUGGAGGUUGUGCCCUUGAGGCGUGGCUUCCGGAGCUAACGCGUUAAGUAGACCGCCUGGGGAGUACGGCCGCAAGGUUAAAACUCAAAUGAAUUGACGGGGGCCCGCACAAGCGGUGGAGCAUGUGGUUUAAUUCGAUGCAACGCGAAGAACCUUACCUGGUCUUGACAUCCACAGAACUUUCCAGAGAUGGAUUGGUGCCUUCGGGAACUGUGAGACAGGUGCUGCAUGGCUGUCGUCAGCUCGUGUUGUGAAAUGUUGGGUUAAGUCCCGCAACGAGCGCAACCCUUAUCCUUUGUUGCCAGCGAUUAGGUCGGGAACUCAAAGGAGACUGCCAGUGAUAAACUGGAGGAAGGUGGGGAUGACGUCAAGUCAUCAUGGCCCUUACGACCAGGGCUACACACGUGCUACAAUGGCGCAUACAAAGAGAAGCGACCUCGCGAGAGCAAGCGGACCUCAUAAAGUGCGUCGUAGUCCGGAUUGGAGUCUGCAACUCGACUCCAUGAAGUCGGAAUCGCUAGUAAUCGUGGAUCAGAAUGCCACGGUGAAUACGUUCCCGGGCCUUGUACACACCGCCCGUCACACCAUGGGAGUGGGUUGCAAAAGAAGUAGGUAGCUUAACCUUCGGGAGGGCGCUUACCACUUUGUGAUUCAUGACUGGGGUGAAGUCGUAACAAGGUAACCGUAGGGGAACCUGCGGUUGGAUCACCUCCUUACCUUAAAGAAGC